CGUGUCGAGGGAGCGACCGGGUUGCCAGGAAGGCGACCCGCAGGAACCGAUGCAGGAUGUAUCGUCGUCAGGACGACGGGGGAGCACAGGGAUCGGGACGAAAGGGGCGGAGCCAUCCUCCGCCCCUUUAUU
rnacentral:sRNA from 1 species